UACGUAGGCAGCGAGCGUUGUUCGGAGUUACUGGGCGGAAAGGGUGUGUAGGCGGUUGUUUAAGUUUGGUGUGAAAUCUCCCGGCUCAACUGGGAGGGUGCGCCGAAUACUGAAUGACUUGGAGUGUGGGAGAGGUGAGUGGAAUUCCUGGUGUAGCGGUGAAAUGCGUAGAUAUCAGGAGGAACACCGGUGGUGUAGACGGCUCACUGGACCAUAACUGACGCUGAGACACGAAAGCGUGGGUAGCAAACAGG
rnacentral:rRNA from 1 species